rnacentral:tRNA from 1 species
GCCCCGGUGGCGCAACUGGUUAGCGCGCCGUACUUAUAGACAGUAUCGGCUAUGACAUGCGGAGGCUGUGAGUUCGAUCCUCACCCGGGGCA